rnacentral:pre_miRNA from 1 species
AAGUCCCGUCACCUUCUCCGGUGAGAAGGCAGAGACUGCCUUCUCACCGGAGAAGGCGACCCAGGUAGAAACUACCUGGGUUGCCUUCUCCGGUGAGAAGGCGACCCACUGGGCUGCCUUCUCACCGGAGAGGUAGAAACUACCUGGGUUGCCUUCUCCGGUGAGAAGGCGACCCACUGGGCUGCCUUCUCACCGGAGAAGGCAGCCCAGUUGCCUUCUCCGGUGAGAAGGCAGUCCCUGCCUUCUCACCGGAGAAGGUGACGACAAGU